rnacentral:rRNA from 1 species
UACGUAGGGUGCGAGCGUUAAUCGGAAUUACUGGGCGUAAAGCGUGCGCAGGCGGUUCGUUAAGUUCGAUGUGAAAUCCCCGGGCUCAACCUGGGAAUUGCGAUGGAGACUGCAAGGCUAGAAUCUGGCAGAGGGGGGUAGAAUUCCACGUGUAGCAGUGAAAUGCGUAGAGAUGUGGAGGAACACCGAUGGCGAAGGCAGCCCCCUGGGUCAAGAUUGACGCUCAUGCACGAAAGCGUGGGGAGCAAACAGG